AAAAAAAAAAGACUCUCGAGGAAACGGAAAGAAACUCCGUGAAAACGGUGACGAGGCGGAAACGACCCCGAUGCUGUGAUGAAGCUUCUGACUUUGUACAAAGUGGUGCUAACCGGCGCUACUCGGGUCAUCAUGGCGGAUGACGCAGGCCGGAUAGAGCCACACGUGGACACGAGUCGAUCAUCUUCAAGUGGAAUGAAGACCUGUCGGAGGCCGACUCUUUGUCGAGCCUGAAGGAAGGACAGUUCAAAGAUGUGGUUAUGGAGGCUGUUUGAGCCUUUGUGAACACGCUGAACAAAAUGUAUCCUGCCCCCGCAAACGCUUUAUCUUCAUGAUGGAUGGAAUAAACCGACUCAACCUGAGAGCUGAGGAGCUUGUCAGGAGCGAUGGUGAACGACAUCAGCGUCAUCCUCAGCAUGAGCACAAAUACACGACCGCUGCGUUCCUUCAGGAGACACGUUGAAGCCCUGCAGCUGUGUUAUCAUCUUAAUCCUGGUGAGACACACAGGAGGAAGUCCAGCACCAUAUUUAUUACUUCAAAUAAACUUUCACUACCACAAUAUAAAGGCAACGAGCGUAUUUUGAAAAAUGUAACCAUGUAAUUGUCACCAAUUCUGACUUUAUUAAACAGAUUGUGUUAAACAGA